CCAGACUCCUACGGGAGGCAGCAGUGGGGGAUAUUGCACAAUGGGGGGUACCCUGAUGCAGCGACGCCGCGUGGGUGAAGGAGUAUUUCGGUAUGUAAAGCCCUAUCGGCAGGGAAGAAGCAAGACGGUACCUGACUAAGAAGCCCCGGCUAACUACGUGCCAGCAGCCGCGGUAAUACGUAGGGGGCAAGCGUUAUCCGGAUUUACUGGGUGUAAAGGGAGCGUAGACGGCAGUGCAAGUCUGGAGUGAAAGGCGGGGGCUCAACCCCCGGACUGCUCUGGAAACUGUACGGCUGGAGUGCAGGAGAGGUAAGUGGAAUUCCUAGUGUAGCGGUGAAAUGCGUAGAUAUUAGGAGGAACACCAGUGGCGAAGGCGGCUUACUGGACUGUAACUGACGUUGAGGCUCGAAAGCGUGGGGAGCAAACAGGAUUAGAUACCCUCGUA
rnacentral:rRNA from 1 species